AUUGCAUCCAAACCCCAAAAGAUCCUUGUUUUUCCUUGACAAUGAUCUUAUCUUGCGUGCAGACAGUAAAUGGGUCUUGUCGCCUUUCUGGAGCUAAUAAAAGUGCCUCAGAAAGUCAAAUGGUGGGUUCUACACUC
ensembl:snoRNA